UUCUUCGAUGGUAACUCUACUCGGAUAACCGUAGUAAUUCUAGAGCUAAUACGUGCCACAAGGCGACUUUUGUCGUGGUAUAAAUUGGAGAUACAAACCAAUAUUUGGUGAUUCACGAUUUCUUUUCUGAUCGCACUAUGUGCGACGCAUCGUUCAAAUUUCUGACCUAUCAACUUUGGAUGGUAAGGUAUUGUCUUACCAUGGUUGUGACGGGUAACGGACCGUGGGUGCGGGACUCCGGAGAGGGAGCCUGAGAAACGGCUACCACAUCCAAGGAAGGCAGCAGGCGCGCAAAUUACCCAAUCCGGACACCGGGAGGUAGUGACAAGAAAUAGCAAUAGAGGGCCCGAUGGGUUUUCUAAUUGGAAUGAGAACAAGGUAAACAGCUUAUCGAGGAGCCAGCAGAGGGCAAGUCUGGUGCCAGCAGCCGCGGUAAUUCCAGCUCUGUAAGCGUAUACCAAAGUUGUUGCAGUUAAAACGCUCGUAGUCGGAACUUGGCGGGCGACGCAGGGCGUCUUUGCGGACGGUUCUGUAUCGGCCGCCUUUGUGGAGGGGGGCUUAGCGGUGCUUUAUUGCCUUGCUAAGUCGCUGCCACCGUUUACUGUGAAAAAAUUGGAGUGUUCAAAGCAGGCGUUUGCCUUGUACACAUUAGCAUGGAAUAAUAGAAUAGGACCUGGUUCUGUUUUGUUGGUUUGUGAGAAUUAGGUAAUGAUUAAGAGGGACGGUUGGGGGCAUUUGUAUUCUGCCGUCAGAGGUGAAAUUCUUAGAUUGGCGGAAGACAAACAGCUGCGAAAGCGUCUGCCAAGGACGUUUUCAUUGAUCAAGAACGAAAGUAAGGGGAUCGAAGACGAUCAGAUACCGUCGUAGUCUUUACUAUAAACGAUGAGGACUGGGGAUCGGGCGGCGCUGCUUUAUGGCCCGCCCGGCACCCUUCGGGAAACCAAAGUGUUUGCUUUCUGGGGGGAGUAUGGUCGCAAGGCUGAAACUUAAAGGAAUUGACGGAAGGGCAUCACCGGGUGUGGAGCCUGCGGCUUAAUUUGACUCAACACGGGGAAACUUACCAGGUCCGGACAUAGUGAGGAUUGACAGAUUGAGAGCUCUUUCUUGAUUCUAUGGUUGGUGGUGCAUGGCCGUUCUUAGUUGGUGGAGUGAUCUGUCUGGUUAAUUCCGUUAACGAGCGAGACCUGGGCGUGCUAGCUAGGCGCCGUUACCUCUUUCGGUAGCGAGGCUUGCCUUCCUAGACGGACUGCGGGCGUCUAGUCCGCGGAAGCUCCAGGCAAUAACAGGUCUGAGAUGCCCUUAGAUGUUCUGGGCCGCACGCGUGCUACACUGAGCGGGUCAACGGGUGAGGAUAGGCGAGAGCCUUUCCUAAUCUCUAAAUCCGCUCGUGCUGGGGAUCGAGGCUUGC
rnacentral:rRNA from 1 species